rnacentral:rRNA from 1 species
UACGUAGGGUGCAAGCGUUGUCCGGAUUUAUUGGGCGUAAAGAGCGUGUAGGCGGCCUUACAGGUCAGCUGUGAAAACUCGAGGCUCAACCUCGAGACGUCGGUUGAAACCGUAAGGCUAGAGUCCGGAAGAGGAGAGUGGAAUUCCCGGUGUAGCGGUGAAAUGCGCAGAUAUCGGGAAGAACACCCGUGGCGAAGGCGGCUCUCUGGGACGGUACUGACGCAUGAGACG